rfam:Erinaceus europaeus unplaced genomic scaffold scaffold00207, whole genome shotgun sequence
UGGUGCCCAAUGUGGGGCGAAGAAGCCUUCUGGAGACCCCUGGAAUGCCGCUGCUCGAGAGGAUAGGCCUAUCCGAAGUCACUGAGCCACUGCAGCCUAGGAGGUAAUGCACCGGCUGGCACACUGAUGGCCACGGAACUACCCGGCUGUGAGUCAGAUCUGGAGGAAUGUCACAGCAGUGCAAGGUAAGCACUACCAUGGGACAGGCAUUUAGUAAACAAGAUUUGUUCAUAAAAGGACUCAAGGAGUCCCUUAAGACACGAGGAACUAAGGUUAAAAAGAAAGACUUAAAAAGGUUUUUAGACUAUAUCAGGGAUAUUUGUCCCU